rnacentral:rRNA from 1 species
UACAGAGGUGGCAAGCGUUGUUCGGAAUUACUGGGCGUAAAGGGCGAGUAGGUGGCCAUCUAAGUCAGACGUGAAAUCCCCCGGCUUAACCUGGGAACUGCGUCUGAUACUGGACGGCUUGAGUAUGGGAGAGGAACGUAGAAUUCCAGGUGUAGCGGUGAAAUGCGUAGAUAUCAAGAGGAACACCUGCGGCGAAGGCGGGUUGCUGGGCCGACACUGACGCUGAGGCGCGAAAGCCAGGGGAGCGAACGGG